UCAGACGAUGCGUCAUGCAUAUCAAUAAGCGGAGGAAAAGAAACUAACAAGGAUUCCCCUAGUAACGGCGAGGUGAAGCGGGAAGAGCUCAAAUUUGAAAUCUUAAAGGGUUUCCCUUUACGAAUUGUAGUUUAAAGAAGGUGUUUUCUGUUGAGGUUUUGGUAAAAGUUCUUUGGAAUAGGACAUCAUAGAGGGUGAGGAUCCCGUAUUUGACCUUUACUUUCAACUCUGUGAUACACUUUCAGAGAGUCGGAUUGUUUGGGAAUGCAGUCCAAAAUGGGUGGUAAAUUUCAUCUAAAGCUAAAUAUUGGCGAGAGACCGAUAGCGAACAAGUACCGUGAGGGAAAGAUGAAAAGAACUUUGAAAAGAGAGUUAAACAGUACGUGAAAUUGUCAAAAGGGAAGCGUUUGACACCAGUGUUGUUUUUCUGAAAAUCAAUUAAAGAACUGUUUAUGCUAAGCUGUUUAGACUUUAUCAGCUAUCUGUUUAGUUUUGAGCUUUUCUUUAAUGCACUUUUCAGUUAACAAGUCAACAUCAAUUUCUUUUGCUGUAAAAAAGCUUGAGGAAGGUGGCUUGAGAUUCGUCUUAAGUGUUUAUAGCCUCUUGCCUAUGCAGUCGGAGAGAUUGAGGUCUGCAGCGUAGAUCCUUCGGGGCUAAAUGCAUUUGUGCUAAGUUAUAGCAUUUCAUAGACAACUUGUUGACUAUGAUUUGUCUUGUAGCUUACUCGCUUAUGUUAUUUUACCUACGCUUAGGAUGUUGAAUCUGUGCGAGACUAC
rnacentral:rRNA from 1 species